AUUGAACGCUGGCGGCAUGCCUUACACACGCAAGUCGAACGGUAACAGGUCUUCGGAUGCUGACGAGUGGCGAACGGGUGAGUAAUGCAUCGGAACGUGCCCAGUAGUGGGGGAUAGCCCGGCGAAAGCCGGAUUAAUACCGCAUACGACCUGAGGGUGAAAGGGGGGGAUCGCAAGACCUCUCGCUGUUGGAGCGGCCGAUGUCAGAUUAGCUAGUUGGUGGGGUAAAGGCCUACCAAGGCAACGAUCUGUAGUUGGUCUGAGAGGACGACCAGCCACACUGGGACUGAGACACGGCCCAGACUCCUACGGGAGGCAGCAGUGGGGAAUUUUGGACAAUGGGCGCAAGCCUGAUCCAGCAAUGCCGCGUGCAGGAAGAAGGCCUUCGGGUUGUAAACUGCUUUUGUCAGGGAAGAAAUCUUCUGGGUUAAUACCUCGGGAGGAUGACGGUACCUGAAGAAUAAGCACCGGCUAACUACGUGCCAGCCGCCGCAGUAAGAC
rnacentral:rRNA from 1 species